CCUACGGGUUGCAGCAGUGGGGAAUAUUGGACAAUGGGCGAAAGCCUGAUCCAGCAAUGCCGCGUGUGUGAAGAAGGUCUUCGGAUUGUAAAGCACUUUCGACGGGGACGAUGAUAACGGUACCCGUAGAAGAAGCCCCGGCUAACUUCGUGCCAGCAGCCGCGGUAAUACGAAGGGGGCUAGCGUUGCUCGGAAUGACUGGGCGUAAAGGGCGCGUAGGCGGUUUAUGCAGUCAGAUGUGAAAUCCCCGGGCUUAACCUGGGAACUGCAUUUGAGACGCAUAGACUAGAGGUCGAGAGAGGGUUGUGGAAUUCCGAGUGUAGAGGUGAAAUUCGUAGAUAUUCGGAGGAACACCAGUGGCGAAGGCGGCUUACUGGUCUGCAACUGACGCUGAGGCGCGAAAGCGUGGGGAGCAAACAGGAUUAGAUACCCGGGUAGUC
rnacentral:rRNA from 1 species